AAAAAGGCUCUUUUCAGAGCCACCUUUCGUUUUCACGAAAAGUUGU
rfam:Rattus norvegicus chromosome 17, whole genome shotgun sequence.